AAUAAAAACAUAUCAUUGAAUGAAGAGAAGUGAGAAAUAUGAAGACCCCAUUGAAGCCCUCCAGCUAUUUCCCAUCCCCCAUUUACCUAUUUCCCUCUCCUUUUUUUAGCCAUUUUUUUCUAUUAACUUUCCCUUCUCAAACACUGAGCUGAAAAACAGUUUAGCCAAAAAAACAGAGCAAAUGGGUUUAACUCUUCUGCUUUUUCUUUGCUUCUCUGUUAUCUUAACUCCUUCUUUAUCACAGCACCAUUCGCCGCUAAAUACUGCUUAUUACCGGAGAUCAUGUCCAAGAUUUGAACAAAUUAUGCAAGAAACCACUACAAACAAACAGAUCACUUCACCUACUACCGCCGCCGCUACCCUCCGUCUCUUCUUCCACGACUGCUUCGUCGGCGGCUGCGACGCGUCCAUCCUCGUCUCCUCCACUCCUUUCAACAAAGCUGAACGUGACGCAGAAAUCAACCUAUCACUCCCCGGCGAUGGGUUCGAUGUAGUCGUACGCGCCAAAACGGCGCUUGAACUUGCUUGCCCCGGCGUUGUCUCUUGCUCCGACAUUCUCGCCGUCGCUGCCCGGAAUCUCGUUGUUCAAACCGGAGGCCCGU
rnacentral:misc_RNA from 1 species